rnacentral:rRNA from 1 species
AAGGAUCAUUACAGUAUUCUUUUUGCCAGCGCUUAAUUGCGCGGCGAAAAAACCUUACACACAGUGUUUUUUGUUAUUACAAGAACUUUUGCUUUGGUCUGGACUAGAAAUAGUUUGGGCCAGAGGUUUACUGAACUAAACUUCAAUAUUUAUAUUGAAUUGUUAUUUAUUUAAUUGUCAAUUUGUUGAUUAAAUUCAAAAAAUCUUCAAAACUUUCAACAACGGAUCUCUUGGUUCUCGCAUCGAUGAAGAACGCAGCGAAAUGCGAUAAGUAAUAUGAAUUGCAGAUUUUCGUGAAUCAUCGAAUCUUUGAACGCACAUUGCGCCCUUUGGUAUUCCAGAGGGCAUGCCUGUUUGAGCGUCAUUUCUCUCUCAAACCUUCGGGUUUGGUAUUGAGUGAUACUCUUAGUCGAACUAGGCGUUUGCUUGAAAUGUAUUGGCAUGAGUGGUACUGGAUAGUGCUAUAUGACUUUCAAUGUAUUAGGUUUAUCCAACUCGUUGAAUAGUUUAAUGGUAUAUUUCUCGGUAUUCUAGGCUCGGCCUUACAAUAUAACAAACAAGUUUGACCUCAAAUCAG